GACGAACGCUGGCGGCGUGCUUAACACAUGCAAGUCGAACGCUGAAGCCCAGCUUGCUGGGUGGAUGAGUGGCGAACGGGUGAGUAACACGUGAGUAACCUGCCCCCUUCUUUGGGAUAACGCCCGGAAACGGGUGCUAAUACUGGAUAUUCACUGGCCUUCGCAUGGGGGUUGGUGGAAAGGUUUUUUCUGGUGGGGGAUGGGCUCGCGGCCUAUCAGCUUGUUGGUGGGGUGAUGGCCUACCAAGGCUUUGACGGGUAGCCGGCCUGAGAGGGUGACCGGUCACAUUGGGACUGAGAUACGGCCCAGACUCCUACGGGAGGCAGCAGUGGGGAAUAUUGCACAAUGGGCGAAAGCCGGAUGCAGCGACGCCGCGUGAGGGAUGACGGCCUUCGGGUUGUAAACCUCUUUCGCUCAUGGUCAAGCCGCAGCUUUGGGUUGUGGUGAGGGUAGUGGGUAAAGAAGCGCCGGCUAACUACGUG
rnacentral:rRNA from 1 species